GACGAACGCUGGCGGCGUGCUUAACACAUGCAAGUCGAACGCUGAAGCUGGGUGCUUGCACCUGGUGGAUGAGUGGCGAACGGGUGAGUAACACGUGAGUAACCUGCCCUUCACUCUGGGAUAAGCGCUGGAAACGGCGUCUAAUACUGGAUAUGAGCAACGGUCGCAUGGCCUGUUGUUGGAAAGAUUUAUCGGUGAUGGAUGGACUCGCGGCCUAUCAGCUUGAUGGUGGGGUAAUGGCCCACCAUGGCGACGACGGGUAGCCGGCCUGAGAGGGUGACCGGCCACACUGGGACUGAGACACGGCCCAGACUCCUACGGGAGGCAGCAGUGGGGAAUAUUGCACAAUGGGCGCAAGCCUGAUGCAGCAACGCCGCGUGAGGGAUGACGGCCUUCGGGUUGUAAACCUCUUUUGUCAGGGAAGAAGCCUUUGGGUGACGGUACCUGGAGAAAAAGCACCGGCUAACUACGUGCCAGCAGCCGCCGUAACAC
rnacentral:rRNA from 1 species